rfam:Arabidopsis thaliana chromosome 1, complete sequence.
CCGACCUUAGCUCAGUUGGUAGAGCGGAGGACUGUAGUUGACGCAGAUAAUCCUUAGGUCACUGGUUCGAAUUCGGUAGGUCGGA